UUUCUAGUUAUAAACAACUGGGAUGGAAACUGUGUGAACUCCACAGCUCAAGCUCUUUCUCUUAAAUUCACUGACAGUGUGGGCCAGUAUACUAGGGACAGACUUCAUGGAAAGAAGUGGGAUUUGAGCUGAACUUUAAAAAAUGAAUGUUUCAGAAUAGCCCUAAAGGUGCUGUUUAAUUACAGAUCAUUAUGCAAAUACAUUCUAACUAAAAGGAGCUUAACAUUUCAGUUUCUCUCAUGUUAACCACACCAAAUGGUGGGCACAGCUGGAAGGUGACUGUCAUCCAGGAGACAGCCUUUUACUUAGUCUUUAAAUACUACCACAGAGGAUUGCUCAAGUAACAAUUAUUAGCCACCACUCUAGAUUUCAACAUACACCUCUCCUGCAAACCUCUAAGUUCCAAUAAAUCCAGGACUUUGCCCUUCUACGCACCACUGCAUCCCCAGUGCUGAAACAGUACCUGGCAUACAGUAUGGCCUUUACAAGUGUUUGCUACCUCAGCAAGCUGACUGACCCAGGUUGCUGAAGCAUCAUGCAGGGAAACAUUUAGUUCUAGCUUUUGUGGUGUGAAAGAGUCACUACAGUUUCCAAGUGCCUGAGUAGAUUAUGCAGGCUCAGAAAAAAACAAAGU
rnacentral:lncRNA from 1 species